UACGUAGGUGGCAAGCGUUGUCCGGAUUUACUGGGCGUAAAGGGCGUGCAGGCGGUCUGUUAAGUUCAGGGUGAAAGCUCCCGGCUCAACUGGGAGAGGUCCUUGGAUACUGGCAGACUUGAGGGAGGUAGAGGAGAGUGGAAUUCCCGGUGUAGUAGUGAUAUGCGUAGAUAUCGGGAGGAACACCAGUGGCGAAGGCGGCUCUCUGGGCCUUUCCUGACGCUGAGACGCGAAAGCGUGGGGAGCGAACCGG
rnacentral:rRNA from 1 species